GCGUACGAUUAGAUAGUUGGUGAGGUAAUGGCUCACCAAGUCCCACGAUCGUUAACUGGUCUGAGAGGAUGAUCAGUCAGACUGGAACUGAGACACGGUCCAGACUCCUACGGGAGGCAGCAGUGAGGAAUCUUCCACAAUGGGCGAAAGCCUGAUGGAGCAUGCCGCGUGCAGGAUGAAGGCCUUAGGGUUGUAAAGCUCUUUCAGUGGGGACGAUAAUGACGGUACCCGCAGAAUAAGCCCCGGCUAACUCCGUGCCAGCAGCCGCGGUAAU
rnacentral:rRNA from 1 species